UACGAAGGGGGCUAGCGUUGCUCGGAAUCACUGGGCGUAAAGCGCACGUAGGCGGCUUACUAAGUCAGGGGUGAAAUCCUGGAGCUCAACUCCAGAACUGCCUUUGAUACUGGGUGAGCUUGAGUCCGGGAGAGGUGAGUGGAACUGCGAGUGUAGAGGUGAAAUUCGUAGAUAUUCGCAAGAACACCAGUGGCGAAGGCGGCCGACUGGUCCGGGUUCUGACGCUGAGGCGCGAAAGCGUGGGGAGCAAACAGG
rnacentral:rRNA from 1 species